AGAGGAAAGGACACUUGUGUACGUGUCACCGACACCUGUACAUCUUGCAUGACAGAGAGAGAAAGUGAAGUGCUACUCUACAAAGCCAAGCAGUUUGAGUUCCUAUCUACUUCCUUUUCUUUUGGUCUGGUGAGAGUGUGUGGGUAACAAGAGAAGAUAAGAGAGAUACAUACACCGAAGGGUUCUUUCUCUCUUCUUGUUUCUUUGACCUUCUUGCGGUGGCUAUUGUUUCUUUCUUUUUAUGAUCUCUUGGAGAGAAACCCUAAAUCUUGAUUGGGUUUUGACAUACAAAAGAGAGCCAAUUGUAGAUUUUUGGCAACUUUCCUUAAAAGGGUACCCGUUGUUUUUCAGAUCUGACUCAUUCUUUUGUACAUUUUAUGCUCUCUCUUUCCUUUCCAUUUUUGGGUAUGUUUUAUCUUCCACUCAGAGCUCAAAACUAGAACAGAAAAGGUUUUGCUUGCUUGUUUUCUUUCCCGUUUUUUCCAGCUUCUGGGACAUUAGAAAUUGACAGAAGAGAGUGAGCACACAGAGGCAUAUUUGUAUAAAAUUAUACCAUUGCUUUUGCGUGCUCAUUUCUCUUUCUGUCACUUCCAGAGCCGGAAUCUGAUCUCUUCUCUCUUUGAUGAUCAUCUUUUGGCCUGUUUUUUGCUCCAGAAAUUAAUUUGUUUCUCUCUAAUCUUUUUUAAUUCCCUCUCUUUACACACCCAAACAAAGAGAACUCCUGGAGAAGAAAAGAUGGUGGUGCAUCGUAGGCAAAAAAGGAAAGGAAGCAGCAAGAUAUCCACUUGGGGUUUCGUUUUUGUUGUUUCAAUUUUAUUAGUUUAUUGUGUAUUAAAUUGUUGUUUAGUUUAAUGGCGUUGCUUUUGAUGGUAUUUAAGACUGAUUACUGUGCAACUUAUAGCGGAAAAACACUGUGUAGAGUAGUAUAUAUAUACAUAGCAUGGGACCGUUCCAUUCGCGGGAUCUCUAGCUAAGUUUUUCUGAGCAUGGUCCAGCUUACUUGCAAAGCAAAAACCGUUCUUUUCUUUGCUCUUGUCUCUUGCGCAUGCGAUUAUGCUAUGUACUCGAGAUACGCAUCUGAUAUGACCUUGUUUUCACCUGAAUCUGGCAAGAAUAUCUAGUAGCUUGUACUUUUUUUUUGUGAAAAUGGGUUUUCCUUUUUAUUGGCUCAAAACCCUAGUCUAGCUGCAGAUAGGGUUGCUUGUUGUACGAGUACAAGAAGGGAUUGCUGGUGAGUAGUCUUUGCUUUGCACUUGGUAAAACACCGAUCUGAUCUUUUUGCAUUGGCUCUUGGAAAUGGGUUUUGUUUUACAUUUGUGUUCUUGUUAUGGUACAUGUUCGAUUUGAUGUGAAUGUGGUAUUUUUUGUACAAAGAAGGGACAGAAAGUCUUUAAACUUAUCGUAUGAUGUUCUUUCCAGAAAUAGGAAAUUUCUGCAGCCAUAGUUGCUCUUUGUUGUAGUUUUUUUUUUUGAGCUUUUGCGGAUAAGCCAUGGAUAGUCAACUCAUUUAUCAUGGAAGAGACAAAAGCAGGUCUGCAAGCACUUCAGAUAGCAGACAUUCAGCAUUUAUAGCACAGACAUCUGUUUAUUUUAUGUAGUUUUUGACUAGUAAGGUACUUUCUCUACUGUAUAUUAUGCUUAGUGUAAUCUCUACUUCAUUAUUAUCUUCAUUUGUUUGCUUAAGGAUUAUAAUUUGAACUUAUACAUGGUUUUAUCUAUCAAAUCAAAUCAUCUUGUUUUGUGAUUUUUGCAUUGCAAAUUUAAGCAACCUCUUACAUGGCUUGUGAUUCUUGUUUUCAAAUUGAAACACCAACCAGUUUCUUUCUUCUAUUCUGGAUUCACAUCAAGAUAUAGUCCAAGAUUCUUGAUAAGAUUAGAGAAAUGAAGGUGUGUUAUCAAGCCAAAGAAGUUUCCAAAUGUUGUGUUCUACCUUAGUCUGCACAGUCUUGAUAAACUGUAAGUUAUGAUACAGCAUGAGUUUUGAUUAAACAUUUACAGAAAAUUCUUAAGACAUUUUUCAGAUUUCUCAUCUUUUGAUAUUUCCUUUUUAUCUGUUGUCAUCAUUCUUGGUUUCAGCAACAAUCAUAUAAAUUGGAUUGAACUCUGUGCUAUACUUCAAGAAAAUUUCAUUACUUUCUGUGUAGAAUCAGAAAGAGUCGAUCUCUAAUUUUUGUGUUGUGACUGCAAUACAGCACAACAUUUUGUUUGUUAUAUCAUGGCAGGGUCAUCCCGAAGAGUAUGAGCACGGUGAUAGUUUUGGAUGAUGACUCAAGGGCCUUCAAUUGCUUUAGAGAACAAAUGGUGGCAAUGAUCCAUGGAGUGUUUAAUAACUCGUUGUUUGCCAAGUUGAACUGCCAUCUGCUAUUUUUUCUGCAGGUGAUUUCAACAGUAAAGAAAAGAAUAGCUAUCAAAUGCAUAUGUUCUUGAACUAUUAGGUGUACAUCAAGAUUAAAAUUUAGGCUUAAAGCUCUGCGAAACCUAAUUAGGACAAGGGAGAUUGUGGAAACCUAGCUAGUGAUGACACCUUAAGGCAAUGGGGAAUCUUAUCCCAUAGCAAAGCUUGGAUUGUUCAUCACCCUUUUGGCCUCUUCUAUUUAGCAGGACCAAUUAACUUGACAAGGAAGCUGAAUCUCUCCCACAUAAUCAAGGCUCGAAACUACUCCUUUCAGCCAAUUUAUCAGAAGUCUCAUCCUAGCCGCACUGAAUGUAUUUCUAUGCUGAAAACAUGAAUCUUGUCGCUGAAAGUCAGACGACGCCAAGGAAUCUAAAAAUCAAACUUUCCAUGAGAACAACACAGGAUGGAGAGAUUCUUUUUCUGGUUUACUUAAGCACACGAGAAGGGGAGUAGCUUCUAAGUUAAAAGUAUGACCAAAGAUGCAACAUGGAGGCUGAUCUCCAAGGACAGCACAAGGGCAAAUGUUUGAACUGUAUAUAUAUGAUAACUUUUUCCUGUAUGUCAGAAUAUAGCCUGGUGAAUUCCAAGCAGUUUUAGGAAAUUUCACAGGAUAAGCAAUACCACUAUCAAUUUUAGGGUCUACCAUAGUCUCUCACAGUAUACUGGGCAGACUACUUGCUCAAGUAGUUGACGAAAUUAGGCUUUUCUUCUUUUAUAGUUUGUAGUGGGGAAUUGUAACUUGGGCAAACUCCUAAGCCUCAACCUAAAUUUUUUUUCUCGCCGAUCAUGAUCAUAUGGCUGAUGAAAUUGCAUGUUA